UAUCGACGUCCGACCUUGGGCGACAUAUUUUCGAACCUCUCCAGCGGUUGAGCUCCCGCAACAUUCUCAAGUUCGGCUGACGGAUAAACUCCCACAACUUCUCCCACAAGUGUCGACCGGAUUCUCCCGACGGACGAACCCCUACCGUAUCUCCCGGGCUUCUCCAAUGGUAAGCUUCUUCAGUCGUCUAUCAGGCUGCUCCAAGUGCUCUCAGGAUUCUACUGUCGGCCGACCUCCUGCA
rnacentral:lncRNA from 1 species